rnacentral:misc_RNA from 1 species
CCGGUGCCAUUCGCGGAUGGCUCACCCCACUGAAUGAUCAAUGGAGUAGGGUAUCGAACAAGAUGGGNUAAGCGUAGGCAGAGAAUCCUGUAGGCCGUAGGGGAGACCGCGCUCCCUGAAGUGCUGGUACAGCUUCGAAAUGCAAAUUGCGGACGCCGAGGGUUUUAACGUGNGCCGAAGGCAACACAGAAGCAUCCGUUUUGGCGAGGAUGUGGAGGUCCGNCGGAGUCAUCAGGCC